CGGUUUCAGACGCUCCUCUCCUCCUCCCUAGGGACGUCUGAUGGAACAACAGCACUCCUCCUCCCAGCUGCUGUUCGGUUCUUUUCGAAAAGCCUGCCGCACCUCCUCCCGCGGCAGGCUUUUUCG
rnacentral:sRNA from 1 species